UACGGGGGGGGCAAGCGUUGUUCGGAAUUACUGGGCGUAAAGGGCGCGUAGGCGGUUUGCUAAGUCGAAUGUGAAAACUCUGGGCUUAACCCAGAGCCUGCAUUCGAUACUGGCGAGCUAGAGUUCUGGAGGGGAUAGCGGAAUUCCUGGUGUAGCGGUGAAAUGUGUAGAGAUCGGGAGGAACACCGGUGGCGAAGGCGGGUCUCUGGGCAAUUCCUGACGCUGAGGCGCGAAAGCGUGGGGAGCAAACGGG
rnacentral:rRNA from 1 species